rnacentral:rRNA from 1 species
AGAGCGAACGCUGGCGGCAGGCUUAACACAUGCAAGUCGAGCGCUCGUAGCAAUACGAGAGCGGCAGACGGGAGAGUAACACGUGGGAACGCGCCCUUCGGUUCGGAAUAACUCAGGGAAACUUGAGCUAAUACCGGAUACGCCCUAACGGGGAAAGAUUUAUCGCCGAAGGAACGGCCCGCGUCCGAUUAGCUAGUUGGUGAGGUAACGGCUCACCAAGGCGACGAUCGGUAGCUGGUCUAAGAGGAUGAUCAGCCUCACUGGGACUGAGACACGGCCCAGACUCCUACGGGAGGCAGCAGUGGGGAAUAUUGGACAAUGGGCGCAAGCCUGAUCCAGCCAUGCCGCGUGGAUGAUGAAGGCCUUAGGGUUGUAAAGUCCUUUUAACGGGAAGAUAAUGACGGUACCGUAGAAUAAGCCCGGCUAACUUCGUGCCAGCAGCCGC